GGUUGCCUACGGGGCGUAGCAGUGAGGAAUAUUGGUCAAUGGGCGCAAGCCUGAACCAGCCAAGUCGCGUGAGGGAUGACGGUCCUAUGGAUUGUAAACCUCUUUUGUCGGGGAGCAAAGCGCGGUACGAGUACCGUGAAGGAGAGUACCCGAAGAAAAAGCAUCGGCUAACUCCGUGCCAGCAGCCGCGGUAAUACGGAGGAUGCGAGCGUUAUCCGGAUUUAUUGGGUUUAAAGGGUGCGUAGGCGGGCUGUUAAGUCAGCGGUAAAAGCCCGGGGCUCAACCCCGGCGAGCCGUUGAAACUG
rnacentral:rRNA from 1 species